rnacentral:lncRNA from 1 species
CACUGCCCUCUGGUGAAGAACCUUUUCCUAACUCCCAGCCUGACCUUCCCCUGAUGCAACUCCAUGCUGUUUCCUUGGGCUUUGUCACUUUUACCAGAGAGCAGAGCUCAGCACUGACAUGGUUCUUCACCAUAUCCUUAUCUCUAAAUUGGAGAGAUACAGAUUUGAAGGGUGGGCUGUUUGGUGGAUAAGGAAUGGUUGGAAGGUCAUAGUCAGAGAGUUGUGGUCAAUGGGUCUAUGUCCAGAUGGAGGCCUGUAAUGAGUGGUGUCACCCAGGGAUCCUUCUUGGGAUAGAUAUUCUUUAACAUCUUUAUCAGUGACAUAGGGGGUGGGAUUGAGUGUACCCUCAGCAAGUUUGCUGAUGACACCAAACUAAGCAGUGCGGUUGAUACAGCAGAAGAAAGGGAUGCCAUCCAAAGGGACCUUGAUAAACUCUGAAUGUGGGUCCUUGUGAAACUAAUGAGGUUCAACAAAGCAUAGUACAAGGUUUUGCACUUGGGUCAAAGUAAUCCCAGAUAUGUAUACAAGCUGGGAGAAAACUCCUUGAGACUAGCCCUGCUGUGAAGGGCUUAGGAUCCUGGUGGAUGAAAAACUGAACAUGAGCCAGCAGUGUGCACUUGCAGCCUGGAAGGCCAGUGGUAUCCUGGGUUCUAUCAGAAGAGGGGUGGCCAGCAGGGACAAGGAGGUGAUUGUCCCCCUCUAUUCUGCCCUCAUGAUGCCCCAGUUGGAGUACUGUGUCCAGAUCUGGGCCCCCCAACACAGGAAAGGUGUGGACCUGUUGGAGAGUGACAAGAGGAGGGCCAUGAAAAUGAUCCAAGGGCUUGAGCACUCUAUGAGGACAGGCUGAAGGAACUGGGCUUGUUUAGCCUGCAAAAGAGAAGACUGCGGGGAAAUUAUGGCCUUCCAAAAUUUAAAUGGAGUUUAUAACCAUGAGAUAAAUCAACUUUUUACAUGAGUAGACAGUGAUAGGACAAGGGGGAAUGGUUUUAAACUGAAGGAAGGGAGAUAUAGAUUAAAUGUAUGGGGAAGUUUUUUUACAGAAUAAAUGGUGAAGUGCUGUAACAGGCUGCCCAGAGAGUUUGUGGAUGCUGUGUCCCUGUAUGUGUUUAAGGCCAGGUUGGAUUGGGCCCUGGGCAAUCUGAUCUAGUAUGUGAUCUAGUGGCUGGCAACCCUGCCUGUAGCAGGGGGGUUGGAGCUUGAUGAUCCUUGAGGUCCCGUCCAACCCAAGCCAUUCUAUGGCUCUAUGAUUCUGUGAUUCUGUGAUUCUAUCAUUCUAUCAUUCUAUGAUAUGAUUGUCCAUCACCAGGGCUGGUGGUGGCUCCCAUGAUGCCUGGCUUUGCUGCACUGCUCAGCUGCUGGCUUGCCGAGGCACAAGGCACUCAACUGCUCAUUGCCUCAGUUUUCUCAGCUGUAAAUGCGUAUUAAAACAAUAAUCUCAUUUGUUAGGGUGCUGACAGCCUCCAGCAGUGAUAGUGAAGAGUUCUGCCAACCUGGGUUAAAAGGUGCUAGUUAAGUGCAAAAUACUAUUAUGCUUUUUGUGGCGCAGUGUGUCUGCCAUACAUUACACUUAUGUAACAUUACUUAGCACUUAGUCGGCACUUCACAUCUUUAACUAAUUAUGCAGAAUCAAGCCAUUUACCAGCAUGAACAGAAAAACAUCCUGUAAUGACUGAUCAUGAAGCUCUGGACUGAUUUCCAGACUUCUCCAUGAGUGAGAAUUGCAGAAGAUGCAAAAUAAGUUUUUGAAAAAGAAAGGCCAAACAAACAGAUGCUUUAAAAGAGAGAAAAAUCAAACUGUGUGACAGCAGCAAAGGACUUGUAGAGGAAAAUAAUGCACUGCAUUUUCUCAUGGAAACAACCCACCAGAGCUCAGCCUGCAGCAUCUCCAAAGCACGUUUAAAAUUCACCUCCUCCUCCUUUUUGCAAUUGAACACAUAUUCUUAUGCACCUCGACUUUUAAAAUAAAUAAUGACAAUUUUUAGCUCUAGCAAUUAAAAGCAAUGCUGUUUACAUUUUAAUUACCUCUUUCAGUGUGACUAGCUCAGCUUCUUUCAAUCAGAAAUGGAUGUAUUUAGAAACAAGGAAGCUCCUAAAUGCUCUCUGCUUUUCUGUAAACAGUAGCCCUGCUCUGCUUUCAGGUUCUCAGGGUGGAAGGAGUGGAGAGGCAAUCUGCUGGAUGGAAAACUCUGCACAGCUUUUCUUCCCAGUGGUGAUUCUCUGUGGGAGUACAGAAAAGGAAGUUUAUUUUGGAAGUGAGAAAAAUAAAGAGAGGUUUUGUUCCAGGAGAACACAAAGAUAAGUAGCAUCUGUGCAGCUUAAAGUGCUGUAUGUGGCUGGGAGGACCAUAUUUACAGCUGCAAAAUGCCAGGUACGUUUUCACCUCCUGGUAAAGCUUCAGAAGGCGUUGGAAGUGCUAGCAAGGCAGUCCCCAAGAUGCAUUUCCACCCACCUUUGUUUUGCGCUUGCAGAAUCACCAAUCAUCUUCCUGCUCAGUGCCAUCUGUGGGCCUUAAUUCAGUAUCGUGCAAGUAGAUGAAAAUUUACCAGCAAUUUCAGUACAAAUAACAGCGUAGUCACAGCUAUGAGAAUACCAGUGCUGUAUAUCAGGUUCUCUAUGCAUCAAACGUGCUCGGUCUGAACCCACUUCGACAAUUCACUCUGUCGUACCCGGCACAUCUGCAUCUCAGAUGCAAACCUCUUGGAGGAGAGACAGAUGUCAAAACACCACUCAGAUAGCUUUUGCUGCGAAGAAAUUCUUCCCAAAUAAACAUCAACUGCGAACAUGUUGCUGAAUGGUGCUAAAAAGAAGCAGGCUUAGAAAUUUGGAUCAGCAGGUGCACACAGUGUGGUUUUAGCAGUCUUCUGCCUUGUGCCCUCACGCUGCUACGGGAAGAGGUGGCAUUAUCUGUGACUCACAGAUAAACUUGGCGACUUGCCCAGGGUAGCAGGGGAAAGUCUUUGGAGAUAGAAUGAAAAUGUAAUGCUUUUCUGGGGAAUGUUCUGUCUAAAUAUUUUCCUUUUCCCAGCUAUUGUCUGGGUCAUAGAACCAUAGAUUCCUUUGAGUUGGAAGGGACAUUUAAAGGUCAUCUGGUCUAACUCCCCUGUGAUGAACAGGAACAUCCACAGCUAGAUAGGUUGCCCAGAGCCUGAUCCAGCCUUGCCUUGAAAGUCUCCAGGGAUUGGAGGAACAGGUUGCCCUGUUCCAGUGCCUCACCAUCCUUACUGUAAAACGCUUCUUCCUUAUGUCCAGUCUAAAUCUCCCCUCUUUUAGUUCAAAACCAUUUCCCCUUGUCCUAUCACAACAGAUUCUGCUAAAGGGUCUGUCCUCUUUUUUCUUGUAGCCCUCCUUCAGAUGCUGAAAGGCCACUCUCAGGUCUCCCCGGAGCCUUCUCUUCUCCAGGCAGAACAGCCCCAGCUCUCUCAUCCUGUUCUCACAGGAGACGUGUUCCAUCCCUUGGAUCCUUUUUGUGGCAUUUUCUGUUUGUUCCCCCACCUUCUUCUCUGGAGACACAGGCCAGGGCACGAUUAGCUUGACCCUGCCAGCCCCAGCAUCCCCUAAGUCCCUGCCCUUCUCUCCCUGCUUAGUCUCCUUCAGCUCCAUCAUAAGCAGAUAAAACAGUAAAACCUUCAAGGGCUUUGUGUGAGUUUUGUCACGUCCUGCACUAGGAUCCACUGAGCUCUUUGCUGUCAAAAUGACAUAUUUGUCUUAAGAAAAUCACUCCCUAUUUCUGAGAUGCUUUCAGAGAAAUCCAUUUGCUGGAGAAAUGGAAGGACCUAAAAGGUAAAGUCCAUGGGAAGGCAACAUUGGCAGCACAUGGAUUGGCAUUGUCACCUCUAUUGGCUUUGAAAAGCAAUGAUGUUUGUGCCCAUGUGAUUGUAUUGAUUGCUUCCCUUUGCAAAGCUGGAGCCUAAUACUAAAUGAUCAUGGAUUCUGCAGUUAAUCACAAAGACGUGCAUCUGGAUGGUGAAUGCAGAAACACUGAAGCAAGAUAAAGCCCAAUGUGUGAGGAAAUCAGGCUGGUGAUUGGAUCAGCUUUACCUUACGCGGAGGGAGCAGCCACGAUGGGAAAGGGAGGACUUCAUCUGUUAAUUAUUUCAGCAUCUGCUGCGGAUGAAGGGUAAGGGGAGAGGUGGAAGACCUGGAGAUGGAACAAUAGCUAAAAUGAUCUAGGGAGAUUGUAAGUCACAGGAACCUCCAUCAUCACACACUGGGAGUCCUUCUCAGAAGGUCUUGACCCUUGAGAUGUCACCCCCGAGAUGUCCUCCUUUGCAGGGCCACAGAAGACAGUGUUCCCAAGUGAGUUCAGCUCAUGGAUGAGGCCAGUUAAUGAAGUUGCCACCCAUGGCUGUUUCAUAGGGCAGGGGGACCUAUCCCAUUACUGAGAACAUGGUCUGUGUGAGUCAGCCAUGGAGGCUGUACACUGCAAGGGGCAGGAGCAGGCUGAAGCCUUCCAAAGAGACAAUAUUUAUCCGGUUUGGUUUGUGGUUGCUUGAAGUCUGCUGGAGAAUUUGCUCCCAAACAACCAAACAAACAGAGGAAAAAGAAAUACAUGUGAAUGAAUCCAAAUGUCUCCUUAUGGCGUUUUUGGCUUUUUUUUUUUUUUUCUUUAAUGAAAUGUGUUGAUUUUGCUUUUGCAGUAUGUCAGGGCUAAUUUUAGGAACGUGCAAUCUUUAAAAAUCCAAGGGGUUGCAAAAAUUAUGGGGAGAAUAACGCUGUGUCGUUCAGCCCCAAAGGCUGAACCAUUUGCUUUCCUGCCAAAGAAGUGGUGAUUCCCAGGGUGGAAGGGCAAACAGUCUGCAUGGCCUCAC